CGAAGGGGGCUAGCGUUGCUCGGAAUCACUGGGCGUAAAGCGCACGUAGGCGGCUUCUUAAGUCAGGGGUGAAAUCCUGGAGCUCAACUCCAGAACUGCCUUUGAUACUGAGAAGCUUGAGUCCGGGAGAGGUGAGUGGAACUGCGAGUGUAGAGGUGAAAUUCGUAGAUAUUCGCAAGAACACCAGUGGCGAAGGCGGCUCACUGGCCCGGUACUGACGCUGAGGUGCGAAAGCGUGGGAGCAAACAGGAUU
rnacentral:rRNA from 1 species